rnacentral:rRNA from 1 species
UACGAAGGGGGCUAGCGUUGUUCGGAAUUACUGGGCGUAAAGCGCACGUAGGCGGAUCGAUCAGUCAGGGGUGAAAUCCCAGAGCUCAACUCUGGAACUGCCUUUGAUACUGUCGGUCUAGAGUAUGGAAGAGGUGAGUGGAAUUCCGAGUGUAGAGGUGAAAUUCGUAGAUAUUCGGAGGAACACCAGUGGCGAAGGCGGCUCACUGGUCCAUUACUGACGCUGAGGUGCGAAAGCGUGGGGAGCAAAC